UGCUAUACAUGCAGUCGAACGCACAGCGAAAGGUGCUUGCACCUUUCAAGUGAGUGGCGAACGGGUGAGUAACACGUGGACAACCUGCCUCAAGGCUGGGGAUAACAUUUGGAAACAGAUGCUAAUACCGAAUAAAACUUAGUGUCGCAUGACACAAAGUUAAAAGGCGCUUCGGCGUCACCUAGAGAUGGAUCCGCGGUGCAUUAGUUAGUUGGUGGGGUAAAGGCCUACCAAGACAAUGAUGCAUAGCCGAGUUGAGAGACUGAUCGGCCACAUUGGGACUGAGACACGGCCCAAACUCCUACGGGAGGCUGCAGUAGGGAAUCUUCCACAAUGGGCGAAAGCCUGAUGGAGCAACGCCGCGUGUGUGAUGAAGGCUUUCGGGUCGUAAAGCACUGUUGUAUGGGAAGAACAGCUAGAAUAGGAAAUGAUUUUAGUUUGACGGUACCAUACCAGAAAGGGACGGCUAAAUACGUGCCAGCAGCCGCGGUAAUACGUAUGUCCCGAGCGUUAUCCGGAUUUAUUGGGCGUAAAGCGAGCGCAGACGGUUUAUUAAGUCUGAUGUGAAAGCCCGGAGCUCAACUCCGGAAUGGCAUUGGAAACUGGUUAACUUGAGUGCAGUAGAGGUAAGUGGAACUCCAUGUGUAGCGGUGGAAUGCGUAGAUAUAUGGAAGAACACCAGUGGCGAAGGCGGCUUACUGGACUGCAACUGACGUUGAGGCUCGAAAGUGUGGGUAGCAAACAGGAUUAGAUACCCUGGUAGUCCACACCGUAAACGAUGAACACUAGGUGUUAGGAGGUUUCCGCCUCUUAGUGCCGAAGCUAACGCAUUAAGUGUUCCGCCUGGGGAGUACGACCGCAAGGUUGAAACUCAAAGGAAUUGACGGGGACCCGCACAAGCGGUGGAGCAUGUGGUUUAAUUCGAAGCAACGCGAAGAACCUUACCAGG
rnacentral:rRNA from 1 species